rnacentral:lncRNA from 1 species
AUCUUACAUUCUUGACGUCGAUCAGUGUCUGAAUGAGAGGGUUUGAGAUUUGUCCGUACACUUGUAUGGACGUUGCAGAAAAAUUGAAAGGGAGGGGAGAGAGAGUGCACGGGGAAAAGGUUGGGUGUGUGGUGGUCCUACUUGGUCUUCCAAUACACAAAACAAACACUUUAAGUCCUAAGUGUUCCAAAACUUAGGAAAAUCUUUGAAUUGGUCCAAUUAAAACUUAACCCACAUAGCCACACAAAAAGUCCAAGGGUAAAUAAGUAAUUUCACACCGUAAAAAAUAAAUAAUUCUAGAUGAGCUGUGACAUUGUCAUUGUGAAAAAAUAAAAAUAACAAUUUAAUCAUAUCAUCUACAGCUAUGCUCACAAUAUCUCUUGCUGGAUUAUUUCACAUUGGAUUUUUUCUUUUUCCAAUUGGAAACUUUGAUCCACCACUUUUUAAGACUCAUAAUGUGGAGAUGGUGUCAAGUGGCCAAAGCUGGUCGACUGAUUCAUAUUGUAAGUUAAAGUUUUUAAUCUACUAAUCUAAAUAUACCUAGUCUACAAAGAAUGUGGUGACAAAUGAAAUGAGUAUUUUGCAACUGUACACCAACUUAAGGAAAUUGACCAAUGAAGAGAUAACAAAGUCGUUUGAUAACUUUUUUCAUCUUAAUUUACGUUUAUGAACAUAAUAUCCUAAUAUUAAAAUAAUCAAAAACAAAAAGUUAAAACAAAAUUCCGAAGCAUAUAUAGUUUAAUCUUCUUCAAUAGCAUGAGUAAAUUUGAGAUCAAUAGAGUGAAAAACGUUUGGUCAAGUUAAUUUGUAAAUCUAAGCCACGAGAACCUUGACCUUUUUUUUUCAAGCCUCAUUUCCUCGAACGCUCGUAAAAUGGGAAAGAGAAAACGACCUCUUUCUUCCCAAAUAAACUUUGGGCUCCAAGCAAAUAU